CUUCCCAAACAAUUCUUAAUUCGUGAAACAAACGAAUCGCGUGAGAAAAAGAUGAACGUUUGUCAUGAAUUACUAGUUCGCCAUUCUUUAACAAUCGUUCAGUGAUUUAGAUCGCGAUACUUCCAUUUAUCCUUUUUGGCGCGGCGGAUCUUUGCAAAUGUUUGAAAUCGCCAAACCAAACGAAGUCGAAGUCUCAUUGUCAGUUUGUUCAAUCGAAUUUGGAAUUUUUCGUUAUUUAUAGUUAUUCGACGAGCGUGCGGGAAGAAAACUGUGUACAAAACGCAAGAGAAGCACGUGACAAAGCUUGAAACGAUAUAAAUUUUAUUGUACACGUUCCAUUUAUGAUAAAGCUUAUUUAUUUCUAGUGACGGUUCGUAUUUCGAUCCUUCGAGAUCGUUUCUUGUGAUUACCGUGUAUUUAUCUCCUCGUCGACUUUUCAUUAAUCGAUUGAAUUUGAGAUAGUUCGAUACCCUUCUCGGAAUCCGUUCGAAACGGCAGUGUAGUGUUACCGAAAGAUUUCGGCAAUAUGAGAUUAGAAGAUUCUAACGAACAUCGGAUCAUUCCGAAGAAUUGACCACGCCAGGUUGUUGCAUUAAUAAGUGCAAAAGAACGCAUCAAUGAACACUAGUGUCAAAUAGAAGUUAAGAGGUCAUGAGAUUUCCUCCAAUUGUUCAGUCAAGUUAAACACGAUUUCUUUGAACAUCGCGUAGUCAACUUUACAUGGAAUAUCGUUGUAUCUCGUAAAAGCUUUCGAGUAACACCGAUCACGUGCUUCACGCCGUAGGGAAUUGAUUGUCCAGCGUAAUGAGGAUCCGAUUGUUUUAGAUAUAUAUGUACAUAAGAGAAACAUUAUUCUUAUUUUCCUCACAAAUACAUUCACGAUCUCACGCAAACAAGAUUAACUCCUAACCGCUAAAACCACAUCCGAUAAGUAUUCCUCUAUUAAUAUAUGGUUUUACGAGAAACGCUUUCUAAUCUAAUAAAAAUUCAUCUACAUAGUUGA